UACGUAGGGUGCAAGCGUUAAUCGGAAUUACUGGGCGUAAAGCGUGCGCAGGCGGUUGUGCAAGUCAGAUGUGAAAUCCCCGGGCUUAACCUGGGAACUGCAUUUGUGACUGCACAGCUGGAGUGCGGCAGAGGGGGAUGGAAUUCCGCGUGUAGCAGUGAAAUGCGUAGAUAUGCGGAGGAACACCGAUGGCGAAGGCAAUCCCCUGGGCCUGCACUGACGCUCAUGCACGAAAGCGUGGGGAGCAAACAGG
rnacentral:rRNA from 1 species